UGGGGAAUUUUGGACAAUGGGCGAAAGCCUGAUCCAGCAAUGCCGCGUGUGUGAAGAGGGCCUUCGGGUUGUAAAGCACUUUUGUCCGGAAAGAAAUGGCUCUGGUUAAUACCUGGGGUCGAUGACGGUACCGGAAGAAUAAGGACCGGCUAACUACGUGCCAGCAGCCGCGGUAAUACGUAGGGUCCAAGCGUUAAUCGGAAUUACUGGGCGUAAAGCGUGCGCAGGCGGUUGUGCAAGACCGAUGUGAAAUCCCCGAGCUUAACUGGGAAUUGCACUGGUGACUGCACGGCUAGAGUGUGUCAGAGGGGGGUAGAAUUCCACGUGUAGCAGUGAAAUGCGUAGAGAUGUGGAGGAAUACCGAUGGCGAAGGCAGCCCCCUGGGAUAACACUGACGCUCAUGCACGAAAGCGUGGGGAGCAAACAGGAUUAGAUACCCUGGUAGUCCACGCCCUAAACGAUGUCAACUAGUUGUUGGGGAUUCAUUUCCUUAGUAACGUAGCUAACGCGUGAAGUUGACCGCCUGGGGAGUACGGUCGCAAGAUUAAAA
rnacentral:rRNA from 1 species